GUUUGUUUUUGAAAAAAAUAAGCGUAAAACUGAUUUGGAAAAAAGAAACAAUUGCCGCAUAAUUGUUUCGUUUUGGAGGGUAAAGUUUGGUGCCCGAUGCUUUUCCAACGGUGAAACUUUUACCCUCGCAAAUCCGUCGAAAAUAUAAAAUAUUUUCUUAUACAUGUAUAAAGUCAUCAUCUCAUUUCCAAAUGAGUGAACUCAGCGUUACAAACACGCUCUUGAGAUACUUAUAACAUCGAUCAUUUCCUUUUCGUGACUAGUUUCCAUGUCCUUGGAGUGAAAUUUAUGUGAAUCUGCAUUGAGAAUUAGAUUUGAUAUAAUCUUGCUUGGUUUGACUUGAGUACUAGCUCACAAAACUUCAACUUAAGGCAAAUUUUCUAAGUUUAUGAUAGUUAUGUGUGUGUAUUGAUGCACAAAAAUGCAUUGAUGUGCAUUCUUCUAGGAGCUUAUUCAAGUCUGACUUAUAACAUGUUACAGAGUGGAUGGUUCAGAUAAAGAAUCAAAGAUCUCAGAUGAUGAUUAUGGCGGGACGUUACUGCUUGUGACGAGUUCUCCACUUAGAUUUGAUCGAUAACUCUAACCACACAAUAAUAGUGCUGAAUUGAGAUAGAAAUUUAAUGAAGCUUUUGAUCAAUAAUGGUGACGACGAAAGGCUCCAUCUAAGUCGACGAAGAAGACAAUAUAUAUUAGAGUUCAUGAACUCAACGUGGGUUUAGUAGUUUCAACCUAUAGAGGAAAAAUAAAAACAGAUCAAAGAUAAUCAAAUAAAAACCAACAAUCGUUGGAGAGAGAUUUGUUUACCCCUUCACGUGGAUGCUAUUAUUAAAAGACGGCUACGUCUAUGAAUUUGAUGAGCUAACAACUGAAGGCGACGAACAGAUCACGACUAUGACUUUUUUGAUGAGCUAAGAACGGAAGAAGGCGACUAUAACUUGUUCAAUAUAUAAUUUUGAGAAAAUAUGGGGAUGCUAAAUUCUAUUUUUAUUUUUAAUAUUAUCCACAAAUUUUAUUUGAGUAAAUCCUAUUAAACUUAAUUUCCUAAAUUUAAACAAUACUCGUUUGAUUGUUAUUUUAUUUAAUUUAAUAA
rnacentral:sRNA from 1 species